UAUUGGACAAUGGGGGCAACCCUGAUCCAGCAAUGCCGCGUGUGUGAAGAAGGCCUUCGGGUUGUAAAGCACUUUAGGUUGUGCCAGAAGGUGUAUUGUUUAAGAGAUGAUACAUUUGACGGUAGCAGCAGAAUAAGCACCGGCUAACUCUGUGCCAGCAGCCGCGGUAAUACAGAGGGUGCAAGCGUUAAUCGGAUUGACUGGGCGUAAAGGGCGCGUAGGCGGUUAUACAAGAUAGAUGUGAAAUCCCUGGGCUUAACUUAGGAACGCCCUCUAAGACUGUAUAACUGGAGUAUUGUAGAGGGUAGUGGAAUUUCCGGUGUAGCGGUGAAAUGCGUAGAGAUCGGAAGGAACACCAGUGGCGAAGGGGGCUACCUGACUGAUACUGACGCUGAGGCGCGAGA
rnacentral:rRNA from 1 species